GACGUAGGGGGCGAGCGUUGUCCGGAAUCAUUGGGCGUAAAGCGCGUGUAGGCGGCCCGAUAAGUCCGCUGUGAAAGUCCAGGGCUCAACCCUGGAAUGCCGGUGGAUACUGUCGGGCUCGAGUCCGGAAGAGGCGAGUGGAAUCCUGGUGUAGCGGUGAAAUGACGCAGAUAUCAGGAGGAACACCGAUGGCGAAGGCAGCUCGCUGGGACGGUACUGACGCUGAGACGCGAAAGCGUGGGAGCAAACAGG
rnacentral:rRNA from 1 species